rnacentral:rRNA from 1 species
AYGACUCUCGGCAACGGAUAUCUCGGCUCUCGCAUCGAUGAAGAACGUAGCGAAAUGCGAUACUUGGUGUGAAUUGCAGAAUCCCGUGAACCAUCGAGUCUUUGAACGCAAGUUGCGCCCGAGACUUCGGUCGAGGGCACGCCUGCCUGGGCGUCACG